CAAGCUCUGAGGUGGAUUCUGGUGGAGAAUUUUAGCUCGUGUCUCCUGUCCCCCUCCAGCAUUCCAAAUCCGAAUCUUUCGAGGUUGAACCAGCGAGCAUGAACUGUUCGAUGAUCCAACCGUCUUUCGAACGUGGUAAGUGUUGACCAUGUAAAAGGCUGCGAACACAGAACUUUAGAAGGAAAUCAAAUCUUCAAGUGAUCUUUCUUUCCUCUUUUGGGACUCCCCUCUCCAGGUUUGGCUAUCUCAAGGCUGAAAUUAAGCUUUCUAUUUCUUGUGAGUUAUUGAUAUUGAACUAAAUGGCAGCAACAACUAGAAUGCUAUAUAUGCUAAAGUUAUGGUCAUUUUCAUGUGCUUUGUUACAACGCUUUGGCUUAAAAGAAGAGAAGUGGAAACAGAACAGAAAAAAAGAAGUAAAAAGCAUAGAAAAAGCCAUGCACAAAAGCUUCAUGGAAUAAGUCCAUGACAGAUGAUGAUACCAAUGGAUUAAGGAUGAUAAGAACCCAACUUACCUUUGGAACCAAACAACAACCUCUCAUGUUGGGCCUAUGCCUUCCCAAAUAAAGCCCAAAUUAGUGUGGUUUUCCGGGCCCAGGUAAACCUUCGGGUUAUACUUUAUAGUUUGCAUCUGUUUAUAAAGAUAUGAUAAACAGAUAAAGAGCCCAUUUAAUUGAAAGUGGUUAUACUUUCUACUUGUGAUUCAACUUGCAUAAGGGGACCCCUUUUGCAUACUCAGUAAUAUUAAAUAUAGAUAAAUAAAUUGUGGAAUGCAACUUGACACUUGACAGUGCCAUUUCCUUUGUUUGUAGUUUGUUCUGUACUUACCACACAACCAUUUUUUUUUUUCUCUUAACUAAUAAUAAUAGCAGCUGGUUCGUGGGGACCAUUGAUUUCCUA